AUCCCGGUAUUCGGAGGUUCGAAUCCUUCCGUCCCAG
rnacentral:tRNA from 2 species